rnacentral:rRNA from 1 species
GGGUCAGUGGGAAUCUUCCGCAAUGGACGAAAGUCUGACGGAGCAACGCCGCGUGAGUGAAGAAGGCCUUCGGGUCGUAAAACUCUGUUGCCGGGGAAGAACAAGUGCCGUUCGAACAGGGCGGCGCCUUGACGGUACCCGGCCAGAAAGCCACGGCUAACUACGUGCCAGCAGCCGCGGUAAUACGUAGGUGGCAAGCGUUGUCCGGAAUUAUUGGGCGUAAAGCGCGCGCAGGCGGCUUCUUAAGUCUGAUGUGAAAUCUUGCGGCUCAACCGCAAGCGGUCAUUGGAAACUGGGAGGCUUGAGUGCAGAAGAGGAGAGUGGAAUUCCACGUGUAGCGGUGAAAUGCGUAGAGAUGUGGAGGAACACCAGUGGCGAAGGCGGCUCUCUGGUCUGUAACUGACGCUGAGGCGCGAAAGCGUGGGGAGCAAACAGGAUUAGAUACCCUGGUAGUCCACGCCGUAAACGAUGAGUGCUAAGUGUUAGAGGGUUUCCGCCCUUUAGUGCUGCAGCUAACGCAUUAAGCACUCCGCCUGGAGACCCA